rnacentral:rRNA from 1 species
CCCGGUGAGUGAUGAAGGUUUUCGGAUCGUAAAGCUCUGUUGCCAGGGAAGAACGUCGUGGAGAGUAACUGCUCUGCGAAUGACGGUACCUGAGAAGAAAGCCCCGGCUAACUACGUGCCAGCAGCCGCGGUAAGCAUUAGGGGGCAAGCGUUGUCCGGAAUUACCGGGCGUAAAGCGCGCGCAGGCGGCCGCUUAAGUCUGGUGUUUAAGCCCGAGGCUCAACCUCGGUUCGCGUCAGAAACUGGGUGGCUUGAGUGCAGGAGAGGAAAGCGGAAUUCCACGUGUAGCGGUGAAAUGCGUAGAGAUGUGGAGGAACACCAGUGGCGAAGGCGACUUUCUGGCCUGUAACUGACGCUGAGGCGCGAAAGCGUGGGGAGCAAACAGGAUUAGAUACCCUGGUAGUCCACGCCGUAAACGAUGAGUGCUAGGUGUUAGGGGUUUCGAUACCCUUGGUGCCGAAGUAAACACAAUAAGCACUCCGCCUGGGGAGUACGCUCGCAAGAGUGAAACUCAAAGGAAUCAGUGGGGACCCGCACAAGUGACGGAGUAUGUGGUUUAAUUCGAAGCAACGCGAAGAACCUUACCAGGUCUUGACAUCUGGGUGAAAGCACUAGAGAUAGUGCCCCUCUUCGGAGCACCCAGAGGAGACAGGUGGUGCAUGGUUGUCGUCAGCUCGUGUCGAGAGAU